GAUGAACGCUGGCGGCGUGCUUAACACAUGCAAGUCGAACGAAGCAUUUGCGACAGAUUUUUUCGGAAUGAAGUUGCUUAUGACUGAGUGGCGGACGGGUGAGUAACGCGUGGGUAACCUGCCUUGUACUGGGGGAUAGCAGCUGGAAACGGCUGGUAAUACCGCAUAAGCGCACAAUGUUGCAUGACAUGGUGUGAAAAACUCCGGUGGUAUAAGAUGGACCCGCGUCUGAUUAGCUAGUUGGUGAGAUAACAGCCCACCAAGGCGACGAUCAGUAGCCGACCUGAGAGGGUGACCGGCAACAUUGGGACUGAGACACGGCCCAGACUCCUACGGGAGGCAGCAGUGGGGAAUAUUGCACAAUGGAGGAAACUCUGAUGCAGCGACGCCGCGUGAGUGAAGAAGUAAUUCGUUAUGUAAAGCUCUAUCAGCAGGGAAGAUAGUGACGGUACCUGACUAAGAAGCGCCGGCUAAAUACGUG
rnacentral:rRNA from 1 species